rnacentral:lncRNA from 12 species
AAAAUACACGGGAGAGGAGCAUGGGGGAGACCAGGGAGUGCUGAGGAUGCUGCAGGCCAUGCAGAGCUGCAGCUGUGAGGAGCUGGAGAGCAGGGAUGGGGUCUGGAGAGCCCCAGAGGAUUGGGAUCAGAGCUGGGGAAGGGGCUGGGACAGGAGGCAGGGUGAGGGGGGGCCCAGGAUUGUGAUCAGAGCUGGGGAAGGGGCUGGGACAGGAGGCAGGGUGAGGGGGGGCCCAGGAUUGUGAUCAGAGCUGGGGAAGGGGCUGGGACAGGAGGCAGGGUGAGGGGGGGCCCAGGAUUGGGAUCAGAGAUGAGAUGAGGGGGGGCCCAGGCUGGAGGGUGCUGCAGCCCCCAGCCCCCCGAGCUCCCUUCCCACCUGUGCUUGCAGGAUCCCAUCGCAGCGGGCACCGGGGCACCACGGCUGCCCCUUGGCUCAUCUGCCCCAGGAGGGGUCCCAAACCCGGGUGAGAGGCGAAGGAGACAUCCCAUGGGGUCAGAGCCCCGAGGAGCGGGGAGAGCAUCGCUGCAGCGGGUCCCAUCUCGAGAAGGAGAAGGAGAAGGAGAAGGAGAAGGAGAAGGAGAAGGAGAAGGAGAAGGAGAAGGAGAAGGAGAAGGAGAAGGAGAAGGAGAAGGAGAAGGAGAAGGAGAAGGAGAAGGAGAAGGAGAAGGAGAAGGAGAAGGAGAAGGAGAAGGAGAAGGAGAAGGAGAAGGAGAAGGAGAAGGAGAAGGAGAAGGAGAAGGAGAAGGAGAAGGAGAAGGAGAAGGAGAAGGAGAAGGAGAAGGAGAAGGAGAAGGAGCCACCACUCAAGUCAGAGCGUCCUCAGGAGCUUGGGGACAGCCCAUGGCAAGGCUCUGAGGGGACAAUGGCAUGGGGCACAGCUGUCCAGCAGAACGUCCUGCUCCAGCCGAUCAACACCAGGAUGGGAGAGGGUGGCAGGAGCGAUCCCAAAGCUUUAACUCAUCCGUUUUACCACCACAGAGAGCUCCAAACGAAUUGUCCUCCAUGGAAAACGGGGAGGGAGGAGGCAGCAACUGGAGGGAGCCAUUUUCCAGCCAGCCCUGAGUCCAUCCCUGAAGGAACCGUGUCCUGACAGCCCCUCUGGAGCCCACCCUGCAGCUCCCACCUCCCCCGGAGCCCCCGAGCGCUGCCGCCAGCCCAGGAGGAGGGGGAGCGGGGCUGCAGAGGGGAACGUCACACCCGAAACACAAACACGGCUCCUUGGUAAUUAGCAACCGUUUCAAGAGGAAUGAUGAGCCGCCGGUGACAGGCGGGCGGGUUUCUAUUAAAAGCUGCCACGUGUGAUCCUUCUCCAAGCCUGCCGGCCCCUCCUUACCUGGCGCUGGGGAAAUGAGAUGCAAACCUGACAUUAAUGCGGCGUUCGGGGUGAGCUUUAAUUGCAGCCGGAGCCGCGGGGCCGGGGCCAGGGGAUGGGCACCCUUGUCCCCCCAGCCUCGGGAUGCUCUCAGCCUCCUCCCGGCCUCCCCGGGGAGGCUCUGCAGGGAGCUCUCGGCGCCCCGCGUGUCUCCACUCGCUGAAAUGUUAAGGGCUUGUUUGCAUCCAGGGAAGGGAGCCCAGAUUGCUCCUCUGUACCUUCCGGAGGCGGGGAAGCGUCCUCGAGUGAUUCCUCCAUGUGCUCAGCCCCGAAAUGGCACCUUCCAGCCUCACACGGUGGGUUAGCCCUGGUUUAAAGACCUUCCAGAGCUUGCCAGGCACUGCAGAAGGAGCAUCCGUGGCCAGGGCAGCGAUGGGGAGGUGGAUGCAGGGUGGUGGGGUGGGUUUCAGACCAGGAGGAGCCAGGACAGGGGGCACUGGGGGUGAUGCAGGGUGGUGAGGUGGGUUUCAGAGCAGGAGGAUCCAGGACAGGGGGCCCUGGGGGUGAUGCAGGGUGGUGGGGUGGGUGUUGGACCAGGAGGAUCCAGGACAGGGGGCACUGGGGGUGAUGCAGGGUGGUGGGGUGGGUGUUGGACCAGGAGGAUCCAGGACAGGGGGCACUGGGGGUGAUGCAGGGUGGUGAGGUGGGUGUUGGACCAGGAGGAUCCAGGACAGGUGGCCCUGGGGCAGGAUUUGCCCAGGAUGGCAGUGCCAAGCUGAGAUAUGGUGGUGGCUGUGGGUUGGGAAGGUGGGGAUGGCCCUGGAGCAGGGGCUGAGGGUGGAUCUGCUCAGCAAUCCAGCCAGUGAGAGGAGCCAGGAGAGUGAUCCCGGUCUGGGUUUGGGAGAUUGGCUCCCCCAGUCCCACUGUGUGCAGCGGAAAUGAGGAAUUGCUGUCAGACAGGGCAGAAGGGCAUUGGGGACAAUCAGCCAGAGACCACCAGCUCUGGGGACCAUCACUGGGAGCUGGAGAGCAGCUCCUGCCCCAGCUCGAGGUGUGAGCAGUGCUGUCCACGUCCCUUGCCAGCAUCUCGAGGUGAGAAUUCCCCUGCUUGACAAUUUCUCACCCUCACACCUCGAUCCCAACCAAC